UACAGAGGGUGCAAGCGUUAAUCGGAAUUACUGGGCGUAAAGCGUGCGUAGACGGUUGCGUAAGUCAGAUGUGAAAGCCCCGGGCUCAACCUGGGAAUUGCAUUUGAGACUGCGUAGCUAGGGUGCGGAAGAGGGAAGCGGAAUUUCCGGUGUAGCGGUGAAAUGCGUAGAGAUGCGGAGGAACACCGAUGGCGAAGGCAGCCCCCUGGGCUAGCACUGACGCUCAGGCACGAAAGCGUGGGGAGCAAACAGG
rnacentral:rRNA from 1 species